ACGGGAGGCAGCAGUGGGGAAUAUUGCACAAUGGGGGAAACCCUAAUGCAGCGACGCCGCGUGAGUGAAGAAGUAUUUCGGUAUGUAAAGCUCUAUCAGCAGGAAAGAAAAUGACGGUACCUGACUAAGAAGCCCCGGCUAACUACGUGCCAGCAGCCGCGGUAAUACGUAGGGGGCAAGCGUUAUCCGGAUUUACUGGGUGUAAAGGGAGCGUAGACGGUAAGGCAAGUCUGAAGUGAAAUGCCAGGGCUCAACCCUGGAACUGCUUUGGAAACUGUCCUACUAGAGUGCAGGAGAGGUAAGUGGAAUUCCUAGUGUAGCGGUGAAAUGCGUAGAUAUUAGGAGGAACACCAGUGGCGAAGGCGGCUUACUGGACUGUAACUGACGUUGAGGCUCGAAAGCGUGGGGAGCAAACAGGAUUAGAUACCCUGGUA
rnacentral:rRNA from 1 species